rnacentral:rRNA from 1 species
CGGAACGGGUGAGUAACACGUGGGCAACCCUGCCCAAAAGAGGGGGAUAACACUUGGAAACAGGUGCUAAUACCGCAUAACCAUAGUUACCGCAUGGUAGCUAUGUAAAAGGUGGCUAUGCUACCGCUUUUGGAUGGGCCCGCGGCGCAUUAGCUAGUUGGUGGGGUAAAGGCUUACCAAGGCAAUGAUGCGUAGCCGAACUGAGAGGUUGAUCGGCCACAUUGGGACUGAGACACGGCCCAAACUCCUACGGGAGGCAGCAG